GCCCUCUUAGCUCAGCCGGUAGAGCAACGCACUCGUAAUGCGUAGGUCGUCAGUUCAAUUCUGACAGAGGGCU
rnacentral:tRNA from 1 species